CUGUUACUGUGUAGURCUCCMCUGUUUUAUGAUAUAUAGUUUAUAGCCGGAGGCGUGCACUUCUCCCCUUGUAGGACGUCGUGACCCAUUGGAUUAUGUUGUCUAAGGCUUAUAAUGGAGACCGUGGCAUUAAGUUUCGGCUUUAAUGACCCGGACUUAUAAUGUCCCGACAUCUAUCCGAUGGUAUAAUUAUGAUGAUAGAUCGCUAUAAAUGCGUAUGAGCGUUCAGAUCCAUAACAAAUUCUUUAUAUGUUAAUAAUAGUGGAAAUCGGAUUUAAUGCCGAUUCUACACAUAUGGUAUUGAUAGUUGUGGUAUUCUCGAACCGUUCUUUAUCAUCAGUCAACGGCGUUUAUGUUUUGGGUAAUUACAGGACCCGUCUUGAAACACGGACCAAGGAGUCUAGCAUGUGCGCAAGUCAUUGGGACUUUGUGAAACCUAAAGGCGUAAUGAAAGUGAAAUAUUUGUGAAUUUUCGUAAUUCACUGAAUUUAAGGGAAGAUGGGUAACGUUUUUUAUGUUACCUCGCAUUCCCGGGGCGUCGCGUACUUAUUGCAAGUUGCGGCGCACCAAGAGCGUACACGCUGGGACCCGAAA
rnacentral:rRNA from 1 species